AGAGUUUGAUCCUGGCUCAGAUUGAACGCUGGCGGCAGGCCUAACACAUGCAAGUCGAGCGGUAACAUUUCUAGCUUGCUAGAAGAUGACGAGCGGCGGACGGGUGAGUAACGCGUAGAAAUCUACCUAGUAGUGGGGGAUAGCCCAGAGAAAUUUGGAUUAAUACCGCAUACGCCCUACGGGGGAAAGGAGGGGACCUUCGGGCCUUUCGCUAUUAGAUGAGUCUGCGUCGGAUUAGCUUGUUGGUGAGGUAAUGGCUCACCAAGGCGACGAUCCGUAGCUGGUCUGAGAGGAUGAUCAGCCACACUGGAACUGAGACACGGUCCAGACUCCUACGGGAGGCAGCAGUGGGGAAUAUUGCACAAUGGGCGAAAGCCUGAUGCAGCCAUGCCGCGUGUGUGAAGAAGGCCUUAGGGUUGUAAAGCACUUUCAGCAGUGAGGAAAGGAGUGUAGUUAAUAACUGCAUUCUGUGACGUUAACUGCAGAAGAAGGACCGGCUAACUCCGUGCCAGCAGCCGCGGUAAUACGGAGGGUCCGAGCGUUAAUCGGAAUUACUGGGCGUAAAGCGCGCGUAGGCGGUUUGUUAAGUCAGAUGUGAAAGCCCCGGGCUCAACCUGGGAACUGCACCUGAUACUGGCAAACUAGAGUACAGAAGAGGGUGGUGGAAUUUCCUGUGUAGCGGUGAAAUGCGUAGAUAUAGGAAGGAACACCAGUGGCGAAGGCGACCACCUGGUCUGAUACUGACGCUGAGGUGCGAAAGCGUGGGGUAGCGAACAGGAUUAGAUACCCUAUAGUCCACGCCCGUAAACGAUGUCCACCUAGCCUGUUUGGGGUCCUAUUUAAAAAAAGCUCUUAGCUG
rnacentral:rRNA from 1 species